UAAUUCGACGAUUGUUGUUCU
ensembl:piRNA 21ur-28 ncRNA